rnacentral:rRNA from 1 species
UGGGGAAUAUUGGACAAUGGGCGAAAGCCUGAUCCAGCAAUGCCGCGUGAGUGAUGAAGGCCUUAGGGUUGUAAAGCUCUUUUACCCGGGAUGAUAAUGACAGUACCGGGAGAAUAAGCCCCGGCUAACUCCGUGCCAGAAGCCGCGGUAAUACGGAGGGGGCUAGCGUUGUUCGGAAUUACUGGGCGUAAAGCGCACGUAGGCGGCUUUGUAAGUUAGAGGUGAAAGCCCGGGGCUCAACUCCGGAAUUGCCUUUAAGACUGCAUCGCUAGAAUUGUGGAGAGGUAAGUGGAAUUCCGAGUGUAGAGGUGAAAUUCGUAGAUAUUCGGAAGAACACCAGUGGCGAAGGCGACUUACUGGACACAUAUUGACGCUGAGGUGCGAAAGCGUGGGGAGCAAACAGG